GCUGGAGCCACCUGGCUGGCCCUUUCAGGAUUUGUGGCCUUGAGCUGGGCCCUGGUGCUGGAGGUCGGGGAAGUGGAAGGAAGACGGUCUGGCCAGAGAAUGAAAGAACCAUAGGUUCCCUGGGAGCUGUACUUAGGGGACAGUAUGCCCCCGAGAGGCAGUAACCAGUAGUAGUCUUCAGAUGCCUCGAGCUCAGGGACGAACUCUCUUCUCCUGACCCCUCCGGGCUAGCUGCUCAGGGUAGACCCACUCUCUUCCGGAAGGUGGGGGAUGACAGUGAGGGAAUCACUUGCCGUUUGCUUGGCCCAAGGCUCAGACUCUCAGGGUUGACUUUUAAGUUAGUUUCAUAUGAGCUGAGGGGCCUACUUUCAAAAAGGAAGCACCAGACCAUUGGCCUCAACAUUUGAGCAGGAAACAUCAGAGUAGAAAGGGAUUUUGAAAACAGUGUAAAGUUACCUUGAGAAACCAUUCAUUUCAGUACAUUUGUCAGAGGAUACUUUGCUGGUCUUUCAACCCUUAAUGAUCCACGGUGAGAGUUUCAUGGAGUAUGCAAGACAUUGCUCUCCAAGCUGAGUGAAAUUCCAGCUGUGGCCCCUGGAAGCCAUGUGGAGAUGUGGGUGCAUUCCUUCAGCUACAGGCACAGAAGCCAGUUCACUUGGCCACUGAAGGUCCUGUUUCCGUGUGAUGUGGAGCCUGAUGAAUAUGUGGCCUCCCCUCUAGGAAUACGCCUGGGCUGCCUUUGCACACACUUACUUCAGCUGGCCUUGAACUCAAAGAUAAUCGCUUCUGUAACAAGUGAAUCACAGCCUCUCCUCCCUGUGCAAACAAGAGAACUAGCUUUAACUGCCUGAUCAAAUGUUUUUGAAAGAGUAAACCCAGGAAGGAGAUUUGAGAAACAAGCAGCCAAGACUAGAGUUUUCACUUUGCAGAGGACAUCGAGUGGAGGUCUGCGUUCUGGGAGGUUUCAACUGAUGGAAAGACAGUGGCCC
rnacentral:lncRNA from 1 species